rnacentral:tRNA from 1 species
GGCUGUAGCUCAGUGGUAGAGCGUGUGCUUAGCAUGCACGAGGUCUUGGGUUCAAUCCCCAGUACGUCCG